rnacentral:rRNA from 1 species
CCCUUAGACGUUCUGGGCCGCACGCGCGCUACACUGACGAAGGCAACGAGCUUUCCUUUACCGAAAGGUACGGGUAAUCUUUUGAAACUUCGUCGUGCUGGGGAUAGAUCCUUGCAAUUAUUGAUCUUAAACGAGGAAUUCCUAGUAAGCGCAAGUCAUCAACUUGCGUUGAUUACGUCCCUGCCCUUUGUACACACCGCCCGUCGCUACUACCGAUUGAAUGGUUUAGUGAGGCCUUCGGAUCCGCGACUCGUUUUGUGGAGAAGUUGGACAAACUCAGUCAUUUAGAGGAAGUAAAAGUCGUAGCA